UCCGAAUUGGUGUAGUGGUUAACAUUUGUCGCUCUCAAUCUGGAACGGUAGUAGUGCCGACAGGCCCGGGGUUCGAUUCCCCGAUUCGGAA